rnacentral:tRNA from 1 species
GCCUGAGUGGCUCAGGGGAUUGAGUGUCCGACUCUGGCUCAGGUCAUGAUUGUGUGGUUCGUGGGUUCGAGUCCCACAUCAGGCU